GAUUAUUGGGAGCACUUCGUGUGUUGAUACAGUUGUCUGAACCAUGGGAGAGCAGCAGCGGUGGCUCCACCGUGUGCUGCCUACCAAGCCGUGGUCCAAGGCUUCGUGUGUCAGCUCGUUAAAACCCCAAAUGGCCCUUGGGAAAGCUGUGCCAUGCAUCACACCUUCACGUCCUGUCCUGUGGGCAGUGAUGCCGGGUAGGGAGGUGAGCUGAAUGCACAGUAAGAGAUGAACCAAUACCUGGACCCCUUGCCAUUAACCAUUUUUCUAUCUCCCGCUUGUAUUCUUUGAGCCAGAUUUUGUGUAAGAUCCACUCAUGACAUCCUCUUCCAGUAGAGAAGCCAGAAAUAAUUUUCGGCUAACUCAUCAGGUUCACAUUUACUUGGAUCCCUUGGAUAGUUCCACAUUUUCCUUUUCUUCUGGAAUUAACAAUUCAUUUGGCCGGGCGCGGUGGCUCACGCCUGUAAUCCCAGCUCUCAGGGAGGCAAGAGGCGGGAGGAUAGCUUGAGCCCAGGACUUCGAGACCUGCCUGGGCAAUAUAGCGAGACCCGGUUCUCCAGAAAAAGGAAAAAAAAAAAAGAAAGACAAAAAAAAUAAGCGUAACAAUUCAUUCAUUGAGC
rnacentral:lncRNA from 1 species